CCUACGGGAGGCUGCAGUGAGGAAUAUUGGUCAAUGGGCGCAAGCCUGAACCAGCCAUCCCGCGUGAAGGAAGAAGGCCCUACGGGUUGUAAACUUCUUUUCUGUUUGAAGAAUAAGCUCGUCGAGACGAGUGAUGCCGGUAGGACAGGAAUAAGCAUCGGCUAACUCCGUGCCAGCAGCCGCGGUAAUACGGAGGAUGCAAGCGUUAUCCGGAUUUAUUGGGUUUAAAGGGUGCGCAGGUGGUUUAAUAAGUCAGUGGUGAAAGUCUGGCGCUUAACGUUAGGAUUGCCAUUGAUACUGUUAGACUUGAAUAUGGAUGAGGUAGGCGGAAUGUGUAGUGUAGCGGUGAAAUGCUUAGAUAUUACACAGAACACCGAUUGCGAAGGCAGCUUACUAAUCCAUCAUUGACGCUGAGGCACGAAAGCGUGGGGAUCAAACAGGAUUAGAUACCCCAGUAGUC
rnacentral:rRNA from 1 species